GAUGAACGCUAGCUACAGGCUUAACACAUGCAAGUCGAGGGGAAACGACAUCGAAAGCUUGCUUUUGAUGGGCGUCGACCGGCGCACGGGUGAGUAACGCGUAUCCAACCUGCCCACCACUCGGGGAUAACCUUGCGAAAGUAAGACUAAUACCCAAUGACGUCUCUAGAAGACAUCUGAAAGGGAUUAAAGAUUUAUCGGUGAUGGAUGGGGAUGCGUCCGAUUAGCUUGACGGCGGGGUAACGGCCCACCGUGGCUACGAUCGGUAGGGGUUCUGAGAGGAAGGUCCCCCACAUUGGAACUGAGACACGGUCCAAACUCCUACGGGAGGCAGCAGUGAGGAAUAUUGGUCAAUGGGCGAGAGCCUGAACCAGCCAAGUAGCGUGCAGGACGACGGCCCUAUGGGUUGUAAACUGCUUUUAUAAGGGAAUAAAGUGAGUCUCGUGAGACUUUUUGCAUGUACCUUAUGAAUAAGGACCGGCUAAUUCCGUG
rnacentral:rRNA from 1 species